rnacentral:piRNA from 1 species
UCGAAUCAAUUUUUUUGUUCU